rnacentral:sRNA from 1 species
GGUGAUUCCUAGGGGUAGGCAGGUGUUCUAUAAAGGCAUAGUAUGCACAAUGGAACCAUUUGUGUAAAGGAAGCAGGGCAGGUUUUUCCAGCUUGAGGGCUUAAUUAGAUGGAACCGAGGAGGCAACUCACAUGGAUGGAGCUGGACACUGGGGCUGGAGAGCUGUCCCCAGACUAGCACAGUAAGGUGUUCACAUGAUGGGGCCAGGCCCUGUGGCUCAGGUUAGAGAGGCAUGCCCAGGCCAACUGGAGAGCCACUCUCCAGCCCCAUCAGGCCAAUUGUGUUCCUUCUGGACCCUAGGCGUGAAUGAGGUGGAUUACUGCCUGUACCCGGCGCGGGAGACCCAGCUGCAGUGGCUGCACUACUACCUGCAGGCACAAAAGGGGAUGGCCGUGACCCCCAGGGAGGUGCAAAGGCUCUACGUGCAAGUCAACAAGUUUGCCCUGGGUUCUAGCUGUGUGUCUUCCACAAUGACUGCAUCCCUCCAGUGCUGUAGAGUCGGAAACAGGCAUGGGGAGAUUGCCAGGCUGACCCUCUCUGGUCUGUUUCCAGGCGUCUCACUUCUUCUGGGCUCUCUGGGCCCUCAUCCAGAACCAGUACUCC